AGGAGUAUAGUUUAAUUGGCAAAACAAUAAGCUUCAACCUUAAAGUUCUUAGUUCAAAUCUGAGUAUUCCUG
rnacentral:tRNA from 1 species